UGGGUAUGUUAAUAGCAUACUCAUUUGACGUUUAGCUGCAGAAGAAGCACCGGCUAACUCCGUGCCAGCAGCCGCGGUAAUACGGAGGGUGCGAGCGUUAAUCGGAAUUACUGGGCGUAAAGCGCAUGCAGGUGGUUUGUUAAGUCAGAUGUGAAAGCCCGGGGCUCAACCUCGGAAUUGCAUUUGAAACUGGCAAACUAGAGUACUGUAGAGGGGGUAGAAUUUCAGGUGUAGCGGUGAAAUGCGUAGAGAUCUGAAGGAAUACCGGUGGCGAAGGCGGCCCCCUGGACAGAUACUGACACUCAGAUGCGAAAGACGUGGGGACGCAAACAGGAUUAGACUACCUGGUAG
rnacentral:rRNA from 1 species